UACGGGAGGCAGCAGUGGGGAAUAUUGCACAAUGGGCGCAAGCCUGAUGCAGCCAUGCCGCGUGUAUGAAGAAGGCCUUCGGGUUGUAAAGUACUUUCAGUCGUGAGGAAGGUGUUAAGGUUAAUAACCUUAGCAAUUGACGUUAGCGACAGAAGAAGCACCGGCUAACUCCGUGCCAGCAGCCGCGGUAAUACGGAGGGUGCGAGCGUUAAUCGGAAUUACUGGGCGUAAAGGGCACGCAGGCGGUUAAUUAAGUUGGAUGUGAAAUCCCCGGGCUUAACCUGGGAAUGACAUUCAAGACUGGUUAGCUAGAGUCUUGUAGAGGGGGUAGAAUUCCAUGUGUAGCGGUGAAAUGCGUAGAGAUGUGGAGGAAUACCGGUGGCGAAGGCGGCCCCUGGGACAAAGGACUGACGCUCAUGUGCGAAAGCGUGGGGAGCGAAACAGGGAUUAGAUACC
rnacentral:rRNA from 1 species